CAGAAAUUCUUUAUUGUGAUUAUUUACAGGCAUUGUAUUUGAGAAAGAGUUAUAUGCUUAAUUACAUGUCAAGUUGCUUUGUGGAAACUUAAAUUUUCCUAAAUCAAGAACUGGAAUGUGUGGAAUGUGUGAUUGUGUUAUGAAAAUGAAAAAUCUAGACUACUGUUCAAAGUGGCUGCAAUCUCCUCUUACUAGCGUUGGUCCCUCAGAAAGCAUUCUCCUUUCAGCAUUAGAAAAUUGACUUUUUUUCAUUUUGUUUCAUUUUCUAACCUAACCACUUAUAGUUAUUAUGUCUCACAGUCUCUCUGUGGAACAAUGAUGAGUCAUGCAGACAGAAUUAUACAACUUCCUGUAACAAAGUUCUUUAUUCAAUCUAUGCAUUCACUGGCCUUCUGGUUAUGGACCUGUCUGCCACAGAGCUGGGCUGAGUCAACUGAUGGAAAUCAUUUUUUCUAGUGUCCUAAUUUUGUUGUACUUUUGAAAAAUGGCAUUCUGCUCCUAUGACUCAGCUUAACGGGUUGAACUGUUCCCAAAGGAAAAAGUCCCUGUCUGUGUGCAGACAAAAGGAGGAUUCUAAGGUUGCAAGGCAGGAGAGCCUACCCUGUGACUAACAGGGUCUUGAAGUCAUCCAACAGACCCAUCUGUGACAACCCAGCCAGACCUCUCUGAUAAGGGUUGACCUAUAUAUGGUGUAGCAUCACUACACAGUUAUCCUGCUAGAGCUGGGAGAAACAAAGGCUGCACAUUUUGUGGUGAAGAGGUUUCCAAUGGUCCAACUACUGAUAUGACAAGCCCCUAAGGAGAACAGUGAUUCACAGUCAUCUCCUUGGGUACAAACAGAUAUGAGUGGAAUUUUCACAUAAUAAUAGAAGUUUAGGAGGCCACAGAAUCGCUCUUCUUGUUCUGCUUAGUUGAGUCCUCCUUUUCUUCAAUCAAAUCCAUGAAAACUUAUGCCAACUCAAUUCCACUAUAUUUUUCAGGAUCUGCAUUGGACUCAAAUUAUCUGGUAAAGUGGGAAAAUAUUGUUACAUUCAAGUGACAUCAGUACGACAAGCUCAAGGCCCAAGACUUCAGAGACAACAGCCAAUGCAGAGUCAACCCACCAAAUGGAAGAACAUCUCUGAGCAGGUAGGUGCUCUUGAACAAUGCUUAAAUAACAGAGUUAUUCUUCUUUUACAGGAAAAUCUAGAGCUUCAUUUGUAGAGACAACAUGAGUUUCACAUUUAAAUGUCACAUGAG
rnacentral:lncRNA from 1 species